rnacentral:sRNA from 1 species
UAUUUGCGCAGUUUUAUAUUUAUAAUCCUUCGGUUUUUUCAGAUAUUUAAGUUUUGACGUCUAUUUUUUAGUUAAAUUGGUUUUCUCCAAUAAUAAGUUAUAAUAUUUUAAGAUUCAGGAUAUAACAUAUGUCUACUACUACUGGUACAGUAAAAUGGUUCAAUGAGACUAAAGGGUUUGGUUUUAUUGUGACUCAAGAUGGUAAAGAUUUUUUUGCUCAUUUUACUGAUAUUCAAACACAAGGUUUUAAAGUUUUGUUGGAAGGUCAACGUGUUGAGUUUACCGUAGUACAAGGUAAAAAAGGCCCUCAAGCUUCAAAUAUUGUGAUUCUUCAAAACUCAU